GAUGAACGCUGGCGGCGUGCCUAAUACAUGCAAGUCGAGCGAACAGAUGAGGAGCUUGCUCCUCUGACGUUAGCGGCGGACGGGUUAGUAACACGUGGAUAACCUACCUAUAAGACUGGGAUAACUUCGGGAAACCGGAGCUAAUACCGGAUAAUAUAUUGAACCGCAUGGUUCAUUAGUGAAAGACGGUUUUGCUGUCACUUAUAGAUGGAUCCGCGCCGCAUUAGCUAGUUGGUAAGGUAACGGCUUACCAAGGCAACGAUGCGUAGCCGACCUGAGAGGGUGAUCGGCCACACUGGAACUGAGACACGGUCCAGACUCCUACGGGAGGCAGCAGUAGGGAAUCUUCCGCAAUGGGCGAAAGCCUGACGGAGCAACGCCGCGUGAGUGAUGAAGGUCUUCGGAUCGUAAAACUCUGUUAUUAGGGAAGAACAAAUGUGUAAGUAACUAUGCACGUAUUGACGGUACCUAAUCAGAAAGCCACGGCUAACUACGUG
rnacentral:rRNA from 1 species